rnacentral:rRNA from 1 species
GACGAACGCUGGCGGCGUGCUUAACACAUGCAAGUCGAGCGGAGCGGCGAACGGGUGAGUAACGCGUGAGUAACUGCCCCCCUCUCUAUGAUAACAGUUGGAAACGGCUGCUAAUACCGGAUAGUGGGGGAUGACUCGCGUCCUAUCAGCUUGUUGUUGGGGUAGUGGCCUACCAAGGCGACGCCGGGUAGCCGGCCUGAGAGGGCGACCGGCCACAUGUGUCUGAGAGAGCGCCCAGACGGCUCCGGGGGACAACAGUCGGGAAUAUUGCACAACGGGGGACACCCUGCUGCAGCAAUCCGGGUGCGUGAUGUCGUUCUUCGGGUUGUAAACCGCUUUCAGCCAUUACGCGGAAGUGGCAGAAGAAGCACCGGCUAACUACGUGCCAGCAGCCGCGGUAAUAC